GGUAGAGGGUCAGGUGCUCCUGCGUCUCACUGAGAAUGACUCACAGCUGGAGCAUGCAUCCUGGGCCUCCUGUGCCCUGGCCGCCCAUCCUGGGAUGUUGGGCAGGUAACAGUUGUAGCUGAAAGUCCAUAUUGCCUUUUGGCUUCUCAUAGAACUUGGAGCAGCCUUAGGAGGUGUUGGUCAGAUGAGAUGUUCUUGCCAUUACUGGUGCAUCGCCUGUGGAGACUCACUCUGCAGAUUUUGGCACGAUACUCUGUGUUUGUCAAUGAGCUUUCACUCAGGCCCAUUUCUAAUGAAAGUCCCAAGGAGAUCAAGAAACCUUUGGUAACUGGUAGCAAAGAACCUUCCAUCACCCAAGGAAACACUGAAGACCAAGGAAGUGGUCCUUCGGAAACAAAGCCUGUGGUUUCCAUUUCCCGCACUCAGCUCGUGUAUGUGGUUGCAGACCUGGACAAGCUUCAGGAGCAGCUUCCAGAACUCUUGGAAAUAAUCAAGCCAAAACUUGAAAUGAUUGGCUUUAAGAAUUUUUCUUCUAUCUCAGCAGCCCUGGAGGACUCCCAGAGCUCUUUGUCAGCCUGUGUGCCCUCCUUGAGUAGCAAGAUCAUCCAGGAUUUAAGUGACUCUUGCUUCGGUUUCCUAAAAAGCGCCCU
rnacentral:sRNA from 1 species